rnacentral:rRNA from 1 species
GUGGGGAAUAUUGGACAAUGGGCGAAAGCCUGAUCCAGCCAUGCCGCGUGUGUGAAGAAGGUCUUCGGAUUGUAAAGCACUUUAAGUUGGGAGGAAGGGCAGUAAGUUAAUACCUUGCUGUUUUGACGUUACCAACAGAAUAAGCACCGGCUAACUUCGUGCCAGCAGCCGCGGUAAUACGAAGGGUGCAAGCGUUAAUCGGAAUUACUGGGCGUAAAGCGCGCGUAGGUGGUUUUGUAAGUUGGAGGUGAAAUCCCCGGGCUCAAGCUGGGAACUGCCUCCAAAACUGCAUGACUAGAGUACGGUAGAGGGUAGUGGAAUUUCCUGUGUAGCGGUGAAAUGCGUAGAUAUAGGAAGGAACACCAGUGGCGAAGGCGACUACCUGGACUGAUACUGACACUGAGGUGCGAAAGCGUGGGGAGCAAACAGGAUUAGAAACCCCGGUAGUCC